UACAGAGGUCUCAAGCGUUGUUCGGAUUCAUUGGGCGUAAAGGGUGCGUAGGCGGCGCGGUAAGUCGGGUGUGAAAUCUCGGAGCUUAACUCCGAAACUGCAUUCGAUACUGCCGUGCUUGAGGACUGGAGAGGAGACUGGAAUUUACGGUGCAGCGGUGAAAUGCGUAGAUAUCGUAAGGAAGACCAGUGGCGAAGGCGGGUCUCUGGACAGUUCCUGACGCUGAGGCACGAAGGCCAGGGGAGCAAACGGGG
rnacentral:rRNA from 1 species